rnacentral:rRNA from 1 species
AUUGAACGCUGGCGGCAUGCUUUACACAUGCAAGUCGAACGGUAACAGGCCGCAAGGUGCUGACGAGUGGCGAACGGGUGAGUAAUGCAUCGGAACGUGCCCAGUCGUGGGGGAUAACGCAGCGAAAGCUGCGCUAAUACCGCAUACGAUCUCUGGAUGAAAGCGGGGGACCGAAAGGCCUCGCGCGAUUGGAGCGGCCGAUGUCAGAUUAGGUAGUUGGUGGGGUAAAGGCCCACCAAGCCAACGAUCUGUAGCUGGUCUGAGAGGACGACCAGCCACACUGGGACUGAGACACGGCCCAGACUCCUACGGGAGGCAGCAGUGGGGAAUUUUGGACAAUGGGCGCAAGCCUGAUCCAGCAAUGCCGCGUGCAGGAAGAAGGCCUUCGGGUUGUAAACUGCUUUUGUACGGAACGAAACGGUCCUGGUUAAUACCCGGGGCUAAUGACGGUACCGUAAGAAUAAGCACCGGCUAACUACGUGCCAGCAGCCGCCGUAACAC